CGUUCAGAAAGUUGGUGUGAGCAUUUAAACGAGGGAGGUUCUGCUGGCUCAGAAUCAGAACCCGGACCGCUUCCUGGUCCCCACACAAACCUGAACUUCAUGGAUGAUGACUGAGUGUUCAUCACGAGGAAUCAGCGCACAAUCUUGUGUAAGAUGAGCAUGUUGGAGAGGAAGUGCAUAAAGCAGCGAGGCUCUGCUCCACUCUGGAGUCAGCUCAGCCUCGGGAUGACCGGCUCAGACAUGUGGGGCAAGACAGUCUCGUUCUUUACAGCGAAGACCUUCGUUUUCCACCACAGUUUUACAGAAUCCUCCAGAGAGGCUCUGAGACUGGUCCGCCUGCUUGCUGAGGACGUGGCGCUGCUGUGGACGUGUGGGGUCACACAAAUUUACAAGAGUUGAUGCUCCUGCUUAUAAUGGGACAACCUGAAGAUGUUUGAUAAACAUUUGUACAAGAAAAGGUGUUUGCCUCAGCAGAACUGGGGAAAAUAUCUGAUCAUCAGGUUACGAGUGAACAUUUUAAACCCUAAAUUUGUUUUUGUUAAACCGAGCCGUGUUUCUUUGUAUAAAAGAUUGAUGUUUACGCCCAUGCAUACUGACAGUAAAUGUUUUAAGACAUUGUGAUUGUAAUGUACAAAGGAAAGCCCAAAAGGUGCAAAAAAUAUAUAUUUUUUAAUUAUACACUUUUAUAUAUUAAUCUCUGAUAAAGUAUUUUAAAUAUGUUAUAUUUCGCCCUCUAGUGGCAGUUUCAUCCGACCCAAAAACAUUUCAGAACUCACCGAGAAGGAACGUUUGUUUCCAAAUCAUCAUAAAUUCAUAACUGGAUUUGAUCUCAAAGUAUGCUGCAUCCAUAAAAAAUAAAUAAAAAUUUGGGAAAAACUCAUUUUUGCAAAGAUCUAUUUUUAAUUAUUUCAUACGCAGAGCAGAGAUCUGAGGAAGAAACAAAUGAACAAAUUCAUUAAUCAAAAAACAAAGGGUUUAAGGAUAUAAUGCAAGUCUGUUUUAUUAAUUUAGACAUGUCUGAUAUUUUAAUUGCAACAGAUGGAAACUUUCAGAAGUUCACUUCAAAGGCAUAGCUUUAUGGAGGAAAAACAAAAAGCAAAAACAUUUUUUUAAAAUUUGCUUCUGAGGUUGAUAAAACAAACCUAACAUUCCAUUCUGUCAAUCAAAUUCCAGCUAUAACCAACGUUUAGAUCAAAAACCCAGAGGAAAAAGACUGGAGCUCUUUGAAACCAUGUGAC